rnacentral:rRNA from 1 species
UACGUAGGCAGCAAGCGUUGUUCGGAGUUACUGGGCGUAAAGGGUGCGUAGGCGGUUGUUUAAGUUUGGUGUGAAAUCUCCCGGCUCAACUGGGAGGGUGCGCCGAAUACUGAAUGACUAGAGUGCGGGAGAGGAGAGUGGAAUCCCUGGUGUAGCGGUGAAAUGCGUAGAUAUCAGGAGGAACACCGGUGGUGUAGACGGCUCUCUGGACCGUAACUGACGCUGAGGCACGAAAGCGUGGGUAGCAAACAGG